AUUGAACGCUGGCGGCAUGCUUUACACAUGCAAGUCGAACGGUAACAGGGUGCUUGCACCGCUGACGAGUGGCGAACGGGUGAGUAAUGCGUCGGAACGUGCCGAGUAGUGGGGGAUAACGCAUCGAAAGGUGUGCUAAUACCGCAUACGUACUGAGGUAGAAAGUGGGGGACCUUCGGGCCUCACGCUAUUCGAGCGGCCGACGUCGGAUUAGCUAGUUGGUGAGGUAAAGGCUCACCAAGGCGACGAUCAGUAGCGGGUCUGAGAGGAUGAUCCGCCAAACUGGGACUGAGACACGGCCCAGACUCCUACGGGAGGCAGCAGUGGGGAAUUUUGGACAAUGGGCGCAAGCCUGAUCCAGCCAUGCCGCGUGUCUGAAGAAGGCCUUCGGGUUGUAAAGGACUUUUGUCCGGGAGCAAAUACCCAGUGCUAAUAACGCUGGGGGCUGAGAGUACCGGAAGAAUAAGCACCGGCUAACUACGUGCCAGCCGCCGCGGUAACAC
rnacentral:rRNA from 1 species